GAUGAACGCUGGCGGCGUGCCUAAUACAUGCAAGUCGAGCGAACAGAUGAGGAGCUUGCUCCUCUGACGUUAGCGGCGGACGGGUGAGUAACACGUGGAUAACCUACCUAUAAGACUGGGAUAACUUCGGGAAACCGGAGCUAAUACCGGAUAAUAUAUUGAACCGCAUGGUUCAAUAGUGAAAGACGGUUUUGCUGUCACUUAUAGAUGGAUCCGCGCCGCAUUAGCUAGUUGGUAAGGUAACGGCUUACCAAGGCAACGAUGCGUAGCCGACCUGAGAGGGUGACCGGCCACACUGGAACUGAGACACGGUCCAGACUCCGACGGGAGGCAGCAGUAGGGAAUCUUCCGCAAUGGGCGAAAGCCUGACGGAGCAACGCCGCGUGAGUGAUGAAGGUCUUCGGAUCGUAAAACUCUGUUAUUAGGGAAGAACAAAUGUGUAAGUAACUAUGCACGUCUUGACGGUACCUAAUCAGAGAGCCACGGCUAACUACGUG
rnacentral:rRNA from 1 species